rnacentral:lncRNA from 1 species
CUUCUCGUCUCCGAGGAGCUCCUCCUCGCGCCGGGCAGCGACGCCGCCACACCUCUUCUCACAGGUUUGGUUCCUCACGUCCUCUCACGCCGUGGAGACUCGAACUGGUUUCAUUGGAUUUGGAUAAGAUGCACAACACUGCACACACAAGAUCUUGCUCCAUCAACCAACACGGUAUUCCAUCUUGAAUAGUAAAGUCAAAUGGAUCUUCUUUCUUGCAUAGACACACUUUCUACAAUUACCAUGACGAUAUACUUGGAUCCAUAUUGCACCAUAGCUCUAGCUAUGAUAUUUGGCAAACAAAAGUGUAAAAUCCCUUGACUUGACAUUUCAAGAAACUUUCAUUACCCCUGCAUUUGGAUUUAUUUUGGCAAGGGCAAAGCUAGGGGAAAAUCCCACAUUGUAUACUUCUAUUUCACUUUAACCCUUUUGAUUAGGUUGUUCUUUUAUUUUGUUCUUUUGAUUAAGUAAACAUACAGCCUAUUGUUGGUAUAUUCUUGAAGAUGUAUUAUCCGGAUUUUGGCAGUUGUUUUAUACAUUAUGUUUAUCUCUUCCUGCCAAAAAUUGCUCAAUCUAAACUCCUUGUAAUAUCAUACACAUGAUUAAAAUAUUCUUCCUGCUGACGCAGGUGUUUUCUUGAGUCACGAAGGGAAGUGUUUGUCUUAAAUGUGUUUAUACUGUGUAGUGAGGUGCUGCUAGACCUGCAUCUUGAGAAGGUGGAUGUGUCGUCUUUCAGGUUUUGCCAUGUUCCAUUAUCACUGUCAUUAAUAUUUCUUCUGAAGUAUUGUUAUCCUGUGUCUACUUGUUGCAAUACCUUUCAUCGUCGGAGUUGAGGAAGAGCAAUGCUUGGUCCUUGCAGGAAAAUAUGAUGAGCUGAAAAUUACUCUGCAAGAUGUAGGUCUUCUUGCUCUGAUUUACUCUGUGACUCCAAUAUAACCAACACAAAGUUUGAUGAACGAACAUAGACAACAUGCAACUUUAUUAUUUAUAUUUAUUGUUUGUUGUCUGAGAAUUCUGUAGAACAUUGUAUGGAACAAAAAUGUGUGUGUGUUGCUAGCAUGAAAGGAAGAUUUAAUUUUUCCUGAGAAAUGGUAGUCUGCUAGAGUGUGAGUGACAUGUCACAUGCGAUUUAUUUCAGCACCAGACUUAUGUACAUUUGAAUCACAAACGGG